rnacentral:rRNA from 1 species
UACGGAGGGUGCAAGCGUUGUUCGGAAUCAUUGGGCGUAAAGCGCGUGUAGGCGGCUUGGCAAGUCGGCUGUGAAAGCCCUUGGCUCAACUAAGGAACUGCAGUCGAAACUGCCUCGCUUGAGUGCGGGAGAGGGUAGUGGAACUCCUAGUGUAGAGGUGAAAUUCGUAGAUAUUAGGAGGAACACCUGUGGCGAAGGCGGCUACCUGGACCGACACUGACGCUGAGACGCGAAAGCGUGGGGAG